CGUUCUCUGUACUCAUCCUGAUUGGCUCGUUCUCUGUACUCAUCCUGAUUGGCUCGUUCUCUGUACUCAUCCUGAUUGGCUCGUUCUCUGUACUCAUCCUGAUUGGCUCGUUCUCUGUACUCAUUCUGAUUGGUCCGUUUUCUGUACUCAUUUUGAUUCGCUGCUUUUUGUCCGCAUUCUGAUUGGACGAGAAAAUUAACCGUUCCGGAGUUCAAACUGGGCGCUAAAAUGUCCAUCCUCACUGAUUAUAGAGACGGAACUAGAUCUGCUUUUAUAUAAC